rnacentral:rRNA from 1 species
AUUGAACGCUGGCGGCAGGCCUAACACAUGCAAGUCGAACGAGUGGCGGACGGGUGAGUAAUGUCUGUGAAACUGACUGAUGGAUGUGGUUCACUACUGGACACUGUAGCUAAUACCGCCUACCAUCAGCUGUGCCCAGAUGGGAUUAGCUAGUUGGUGGGGUAACGGCUCACCAAGGCGACGAUCCCUAGCUGGUCUGAGAGGAUGACCAGCCACACUGGAACUGAGACACGGUCCAGACUCCUACGGGAGGCAGCAGUGGGGAAUAUUGGACAAUGGGCGAAAGCCUGAUGCAGCCAUGCCGCGUGUAUGAAGAAGGCCUUCGGGUUGUAAAGUACUUUAAGUGGGGAGGCGUUACCAGCAGAAGAAGCACCGGCUAACUCCGUGCCAGCAGCCGCGGUAAUAC